GGGCUCUUAGCGCAGUUGGUAGCGCGUUCGCUUCGCAUGUCGUAAAAGUUGCGCGGUCUCUGCGAAAGGUCGUUGGUUCGAUUCCUACAGAGUCCA